rnacentral:rRNA from 1 species
CCUACGGGAGGCAGCAGUGAGGAAUAUUGGUCAAUGGGCGCGAGCCUGAACCAGCCAAGUCGCGUGAGGGAAGACGGUCCUAUGGAUUGUAAACCUCUUUUGUCGGGGAGCAAAAGACGCCACGUGUGGCGUUCCGAGAGUACCCGACGAACAAGCAUCGGCUAACUCCGUGCCAGCAGCCGCGGUAAUACGGGGGAUGCGAGCGUUAUCCGGAUUUAUUGGGUUUAAAGGGUGCGCAGGCGGAAGAUCAAGUCAGCGGUAAAAUUGAGAGGCUCAACCUCUUCGAGCCGUUGAAACUGGUGGUCUUGAGUGAGCGAGAAGUAGGCGGAAUGCGUGGUGUAGCGGUGAAAUGCAUAGAUAUCACGCAGAACUCCGAUUGCGAAGGCAGCAUACCGGAGCUCAACUGACGCUCAUGCACGAAAGUGUGGGUAUCGAACAGGAUUAGAUACCCCUGUAGUC